rnacentral:rRNA from 1 species
CUACGGGAGGCAGCAGUGAGGAAUAUUGCACAAUGGAGGAAACUCUGAUGCAGCAACGCCGCGUGGAGGAUGACGCAUUUCGGUGUGUAAACUCCUUUUAUAUGUCAAGAAAAUGACGGUAGCAUAUGAAUAAGCACCGGCUAACUCCGUGCCAGCAGGCCGCGGUAAUACGGAGGGUGCAAGCGUUACUCGGAAUCACUGGGCGUAAAGGACGCGUAGGCGGGAUAUCAAGUCAGGUGUGAAAUCCUACAGCUUAACUGUAGAACUGCACUUGAAACUGGUAACCUAGAGUAUGGGAGGGGGAGAUGGAAUUAGUGGUGUAGGGGUAAAAUCCGUAGAUAUCACUAGGAAUACCUAAAGCGAAGGCGAUCUCCUGGAACAUAACUGACGCUAAGGCGUGAAAGCGUGGGGAGCAAACAGGAUUAGAUACCCUUGAGUC